CAAGGCGGUGGAGCAUGUUGGUUUAAUUCGAAGCAACGCGAAGAACCUUUACCAGGUUCUUGACAUCCCGAUGCUAUUUCUAGAGUAUAGAAAGUUACUUCGGUACAUCGGUGACAGGUGGUGCAUGGUUGUCGUCAGCUCGUGUCGUGAGAUGUUGGGUUAAGUCCCGCAACGAGCGCAACCCCUAUUGUUAGUUGCCAUCAUUCAGUUGGGCACUCUAGCGAGACUGCCGGUAAUAAACCGGAGGAAGGUGGGGAUGACGUCAAAUCAUCAUGCCCCUUAUGACCUGGGCUACACACGUGCUACAAUGGUUGGUACAACGAGUUGCGAGUCGGUGACGGCGAGCUAAUCUCUUAAAGCCAAUCUCAGUUCGGAUUGUAGGCUGCAACUCGCCUACAUGAAGUCGGAAUCGCUAGUAAUCGCGGAUCAGCACGCCGCGGUGAAUACGUUCCCGGGCCUU
rnacentral:rRNA from 1 species